AAUCCAUAGGUUAAUGAGGCGAACCGGGGGAACUGAAACAUCUAAGUACCCCGAGGAAAAGAAAUCAACCGAGAUUCCCCCAGUAGCGGCGAGCGAACGGGGAGGAGCCCAGAGCCUGAAUCAGCAUGUGUGUUAGUGGAAGCGUCUGGAAAGGCGCGCGAUACAGGGUGACAGCCCCGUACACAAAAGCGCAUGUGCUGUGAGCUCGAUGAGUAGGGCGGGACACGUGGUAUCCUGUCUGAAUAUGGGGGGACCAUCCUCCAAGGCUAAAUACUCCUGACUGACCGAUAGUGAACCAGUACCGUGAGGGAAAGGCGAAAAGAACCCCGGCGAGGGGAGUGAAAAAGAACCUGAAACCGUGUACGUACAAGCAGUGGGAGCACCCUUUGGGUGUGACUGCGUACCUUUUGUAUAAUGGGUCAGCGACUUAUAUUCUGUAGCAAGGUUAACCGAAUAGGGGAGCCGGAGGGAAACCGAGUCUUAACCGGGCGUUAAGUUGCAGGGUAUAGACCCGAAACCCGGUGAUCUAGCCAUGGGCAGGUUGAAGGUUGGGUAACACUAACUGGAGGACCGAACCGACUAAUGUUGAAAAAUUAGCGGAUGACCUGUGGCUGGGGGUGAAAGGCCAAUCAAACCGGGAGAUAGCUGGUUCUCCCCGAAAGCUAUUUAGGUAGCGCCUCGUGAAUUCAUCUCCGGGGGUAGAGCACUGUUUCGGCUAGGGGGCCAUCCCGGCUUACCAACCCGAUGCAAACUGCGAAUACCGGAGAAUGUUAUCACGGGAGACACACGGCGGGUGCUAACGUCCGUCGUGAAGAGGGAAACAACCCAGACCGCCAGCUAAGGUCCCAAAGUCAUGGUUAAGUGGGAAACGAUGUGGGAAGGCCCAGACAGCCAGGAUGUUGGCUUAGAAGCAGCCAUCAUUUAAAGAAAGCGUAAUAGCUCACUGGUCGAGUCGGCCUGCGCGGAAGAUGUAACGGGGCUAAACCAUGCACCGAAGCUGCGGCAGCGACACUGUGUGUUGUUGGGUAGGGGAGCGUUCUGUAAGCCUGUGAAGGUGUGUCGUGAGGCAUGCUGGAGGUAUCAGAAGUGCGAAUGCUGACAUAAGUAACGAUAAAGCGGGUGAAA
rnacentral:rRNA from 1 species